GGGUUGUGAGGUUAAGCGACUAAGCGUACACGGUGGAUGCCCUGGCAGUCAGAGGCGAUGAAGGGCGUGCUAAUCUGCGAUAAGCGCCGGUAAGGUGAUAUGAACCGUUAUAACCGGCGAUACCCGAAUGGGGAAACCCAGUGUGAUUCGUCACACUAUCAUUAACUGAAUCCAUAGGUUAAUGAGGCGAACCGGGGGAACUGAAACAUCUAAGUACCCCGAGGAAAAGAAAUCAACCGAGAUUCCCCCAGUAGCGGCGAGCGAACGGGGAGGAGCCCAGAGCCUGAAUCAGCAUGUGUGUUAGUGGAAGCGUCUGGAAAGGCGCGCGAUACAGGGUGACAGCCCCGUACACAAAAGCGCAUGUGCUGUGAGCUCGAUGAGUAGGGCGGGACACGUGGUAUCCUGUCUGAAUAUGGGGGGACCAUCCUCCAAGGCUAAAUACUCCUGACUGACCGAUAGUGAACCAGUACCGUGAGGGAAAGGCGAAAAGAACCCCGGCGAGGGGAGUGAAAAAGAACCUGAAACCGUGUACGUACAAGCAGUGGGAGCNNNNNNNNNNNNNNNNNNNNNNNNNNNNNNNNNNNNNNGGGCGUUAAGUUGCAGGGUAUAGACCCGAAACCCGGUGAUCUAGCCAUGGGCAGGUUGAAGGUUGGGUAACACUAACUGGAGGACCGAACCGACUAAUGUUGAAAAAUUAGCGGAUGACCUGUGGCUGGGGGUGAAAGGCCAAUCAAACCGGGAGAUAGCUGGUUCUCCCCGAAAGCUAUUUAGGUAGCGCCUCGUGAAUUCAUCUCCGGGGGUAGAGCACUGUUUCGGCUAGGGGGCCAUCCCGGCUUACCAACCCGAUGCAAACUGCGAAUACCGGAGAAUGUUAUCACGGGAGACACACGGCGGGUGCUAACGUCCGUCGUGAAGAGGGAAACAACCCAGACCGCCAGCUAAGGUCCCAAAGUCAUGGUUAAGUGGGAAACGAUGUGGGAAGGCCCAGACAGCCAGGAUGUUGGCUUAGAAGCAGCCAUCAUUUAAAGAAAGCGUAAUAGCUCACUGGUCGAGUCGGCCUGCGCGGAAGAUGUAACGGGGCUAAACCAUGCACCGAAGCUGCGGCAGCGACACUGUGUGUUGUUGGGUAGGGGAGCGUUCUGUAAGCCUGCGAAGGUGGCCUGUGAGGGUUGCUGGAGGUAUCAGAAGUGCGAAUGCUGACAUAAGUAACGAUAAAGCGGGUGAAAAGCCCGCUCGCCGGAAGACCAAGGGUUCCUGUCCAACGUUAAUCGGGGCAGGGUGAGUCGACCCCUAAGGCGAGGCCGAAAGGCGUAGUCGAUGGGAAACGGGUUAAUAUUCCCGUACUUGGUGUUACUGCGAAGGGGGGACGGAGAAGGCUAUGUUGGCCGGGCGACGGUUGUCCCGGUUUAAGCGUGUAGGUGUGUGUUCCAGGUAAAUCCGGUUCACUUUAACACUGAGGCGUGACGACGAGGCACUACGGUGCUGAAGCAACAAAUGCCCUGCUUCCAGGAAAAGCCUCUAAGCAUCAGGUAACAUCAAAUCGUACCCCAAACCGACACAGGUGGUCAGGUAGAGAAUACCAAGGCGCUUGAGAGAACUCGGGUGAAGGAACUAGGCAAAAUGGUGCCGUAACUUCGGGAGAAGGCACGCUGACACGUAGGUGAAGUGAUUUACUCAUGGAGCUGAAGUCAGUCGAAGAUACCAGCUGGCUGCAACUGUUUAUUAAAAACACAGCACUGUGCAAACACGAAAGUGGACGUAUACGGUGUGACGCCUGCCCGGUGCCGGAAGGUUAAUUGAUGGGGUCAGCGCAAGCGAAGCUCCUGAUCGAAGCCCCGGUAAACGGCGGCCGUAACUAUAACGGUCCUAAGGUAGCGAAAUUCCUUGUCGGGUAAGUUCCGACCUGCACGAAUGGCGUAAUGAUGGCCAGGCUGUCUCCACCCGAGACUCAGUGAAAUUGAACUCGCUGUGAAGAUGCAGUGUACCCGCGGCAAGACGGAAAGACCCCGUGAACCUUUACUAUAGCUUGACACUGAACAUUGAGCCUUGAUGUGUAGGAUAGGUGGGAGGCUUUGAAGUGUGGACGCCAGUCUGCAUGGAGCCGACCUUGAAAUACCACCCUUUAAUGUUUGAUGUUCUAACGUGGACCCGUUACCCGGGUUGCGGACAGUGUCUGGUGGGUAGUUUGACUGGGGCGGUCUCCUCCUAAAGAGUAACGGAGGAGCACGAAGGUUGGCUAAUCCUGGUCGGACAUCAGGAGGUUAGUGCAAUGGCAUAAGCCAGCUUGACUGCGAGCGUGACGGCGCGAGCAGGUGCGAAAGCAGGUCAUAGUGAUCCGGUGGUUCUGAAUGGAAGGGCCAUCGCUCAACGGAUAAAAGGUACUCCGGGGAUAACAGGCUGAUACCGCCCAAGAGUUCAUAUCGACGGCGGUGUUUGGCACCUCGAUGUCGGCUCAUCACAUCCUGGGGCUGAAGUAGGUCCCAAGGGUAUGGCUGUUCGCCAUUUAAAGUGGUACGCGAGCUGGGUUUAGAACGUCGUGAGACAGUUCGGUCCCUAUCUGCCGUGGGCGCUGGAGAACUGAGGGGGGCUGCUCCUAGUACGAGAGGACCGGAGUGGACGCAUCACUGGUGUUCGGGUUGUCAUGCCAAUGGCACUGCCCGGUAGCUAAAUGCGGAAGAGAUAAGUGCUGAAAGCAUCUAAGCACGAAACUUGCCCCGAGAUGAGUUCUCCCUGAGACUUAAAGUCUCCUGAAGGAACGUUGAAGACGACGACGUUGAUAGGCCGGGUGUGUAAGCGCAGCGAUGCGUUGAGCUAACCGGUACUAAUGAACCGUGAGGCUUAACCUUACAACGCCGAAG
rnacentral:rRNA from 1 species